CCUGCAAAUAUGUCAUCCACUGCCUCUGGUCUCCAUAGUUUCCCAGAAAUCUGCUGAGCCUCAUGUGUUCGGUUCCUUACUGAGCAGUUGCACCAACACAUCACGUCACCAGCACUAACUUAUUAAGUUCUUUACCUGCCUACCAGGACACAAAGGCAGAAGAGUGUGCACAGUCCAGCUGCCACACAGCCCCCUGCACUGGACAUUGUCACCUCUGAUGAGGGUGCAGGCAUGCUUCUGUGACAGGCACUGCAUUUCACUUCUGCUGCCACUACCAAAACUCAAAACCAGGAGAAUAUCAGCUUUCAAGGGUUGACCAACACCUGCCAAGCCGAGUCCUGGUGUGUUGUCAUCGUUCUUCAAAGAAAGGAUGAGUUACACCAUUGUUUCCUCACAACUGACAGAAGCUGGGUAUGGCAGGAGACAUGCUGUGGCCCAGAGAUACUCCAGAAAAAAACAGUAUGUGUAACUGCCAGACUUCUGUUAAAAAAAAAGAAAAAAAUGUGGUCGUAUAUGGACAGCAUGCCUUUAUUUUUAUGUGGUGCU